rnacentral:rRNA from 1 species
GACGAACGCUGGCGGCGCGCUUAACACAUGCAAGUCGAGCGAGAACCGGGACUUCGGUCCCGGGGACAGCGGCGAACGGGUGAGUAACACGUGGGUAAUCUGCCCUCGAUUCUGGGAUAGCCCGGGGAAACCCGGAUUAAUACCGGAUAGCCUUUCGAGCCUUCGGGCGCGAAAGAAAAGGUAGCUUCGGCCUCCGAUCGAGGAUGAGCCCGCGGUGGAUUAGCUUGUUGGCGGGGUAAUGGCCCACCAAGGCCACGAUCCAUAGCUGGUCUGAGAGGACGAUCAGCCACACUGGGACUGAGACACGGCCCAGACUCCUACGGGAGGCAGCAGUGGGGAAUCUUGCGCAAUGGGCGAAAGCCUGACGCAGCGACGCCGC